CUACGGGGGGCACCAGUGAGGAAUAUUGCACAAUGGGGGGAACCCUGAUGCAGCAACGCCGCGUGGAGGAUGACGCAUUUCGGUGUGUAAACUCCUUUUAUAUGUCAAGAAAAUGACGGUAGCAUAUGAAUAAGCGCCGGCUAACUCCGUGCCAGCAGCCGCGGUAAUACGGAGGGCGCAAGCGUUACUCGGAAUCACUGGGCGUAAAGGACGCGUAGGCGGGUUGAAAAGUCAGGUGUGAAAGCCUACAGCUUAACUGUAGAACUGCACUUGAAACUCUCAAUCUAGAGUAUGGGAGGGGCAGAUGGAAUUAGUGGUGUAGGGGUAAAAUCCGUAGAUAUCACUAGGAAUACCUAAAGCGAAGGCGAUCUGCUGGAACAUUACUGACGCUAAGGCGUGAAAGCGUGGGGAGCAAACAGGAUUAGAUACCCUCGUAGUC
rnacentral:rRNA from 1 species